GAUAAACGCUGGCGGCGCACAUAAGACAUGCAAGUCGAACGGACUUAACCAUUAGUUUACUAUUGGAGCGGUUAGUGGCGGACUGGUGAGUAAACACGUAAGCAACCUGCCUAUCAGAGGGGAACAACAGUUAGAAAUGACUGCUAAUACCGCAUAUGCCUUAAUUACCACAUGGUAAUAGAGGGAAAGGAGCAAUCCGCUGAUAGAUGGGCUUGCGUCUGAUUAGAUAGUUGGUGGGGUAACGGCCUACCAAGGCGAUGAUCAGUAGCCGGUCUGAGAGGAUGAGCGGCCACACUGGGACUGAGACACGGCCCAG
rnacentral:rRNA from 1 species